rnacentral:rRNA from 1 species
CUCGGCGAAAGGCUGAGUAACAUGUGAGUAAUCUGCCCUUAGGUGGGGGAUAACCCCGGGAAACUGGGAAUAAUACCCCAUAGGCAAUUCAUCCUGGAAUGGUGUUUUGCUGAAAGACUUGUCACCUAAGGAUGAGCUCGCAUCCUAUCAGGCUGUUGGUAAGGUAACGGCUUACCAAACCUAUGACGGGUAGGGGCCAUGUGAGUGGGAGCCCCCAGAUGGGUACUGAGACAAGAACCCAGGUCCUACGGGGCGCAGCAGGCGCGAAAAAUUCGCAAUGCCCGAAAGGGUGACGAUGGAACUCUGAGUGCCAUUCUUUAAGAAUGGCUUUUUACGAUUGUAAAUAGAUCGUAGAAUAAGUGCCGGGUAAGUCUGGUGCCAGCCGCCGCGGUAACACCAGCAGCGCAAGUGGUAGUCGGCUUUAUUGGGCCUAAAGCGUUCGUAGCCUGACAGUCAAGUCCUUGGGUAAAUCCGGCGGCUUAACCGUCGGAAUUCCAUGGAUACUGGCUGUCUUGAGGCCGGGAGAAGGUGUGGGUACUUCUGGAGUAGGGGUGAAAUCUUCUGAUUCCAGGGGGACCGCCUGUGGUGAAAACGCACACCUAGAACGGGCUUGACGGCGAGGAACGAAACCCAGGGGAGCGAACGGGAUUAGAUACCCCGGUAGUCCUGGGCGUAAACGAUGUCCGUUUGGUGUUGCAUACUCUACGUGGGUGUGCAGUGCCGGAGCGUAGGCGUUAAACGGACCGCCUGGGGAGUAUGACUGCAAGGUUGAAACUUAAAGGAAUUGACGGGGGAGCACCACAAGGGGUGGAGGCUGCGGUUUAAUUGGAUUCAACGCCGGAAAUCUCACUGGGAGCGACAGCAGUAUGAUGUUCAGGCUGACGACUUUAACUGACGCGCUGAGAGGAGGUGCAUGGCCGCCGCCAGCUCGUGCCGUGAGGUGUCCUGUUAAGUCAGGUAACGAGCGAGACCCGCGCUCUUUGUUGCUAUUUCUUCCUCCGGGAGGAAAGCACCCAAAGGGGACCGCUGGUGAUAAAUCAGAGGAAGGAGCGGGCAACGGUAGGUCAGUAUGCCCCGAAUCUCCCAGGCUACACGCGGCCUACAAUGCGUAUGACAAAGAGUUGCUACGCCGAAAGGUGACGCUAAUCUCGAAACCUACGCUCAGUUCGGAUUGAGGGCUGUAACUCGCCCUCAUGAAGCCGGAAUCCCCAGUAAUCGCGAAUCAUUAUCUCGCGGUGAAUACGUCCCUGCUCCUUGUACACACCGCCCGUCAAGUCAUUCGAGUGGGCUGAUAGUGAGGCCCCAUCUUUU